AGGGAUGAAGCUCAGUGGUAGAGUGCUUGCUUAGCAAGUGUGAGGACCUGGAUUCAAUUCCAUUAUCUCCA
rnacentral:tRNA from 1 species